rnacentral:rRNA from 1 species
AUGGUGUUGGAUGCGUUUGCAUCCUACAUCGGGGACUACCUGAAGCAGGUGGUACAGGAUGAGGUGGGAACAAGAACAAUGCUGGGCGUCUCCGGCGAGAUCGAUAAGUUGGGCGACAAGCUCCAGGACCUUAAGAACUUCCUCACCGACGUCGAUAGGAGGAACAUCACUGACGAGACAGUCCAAGUCUGGGUGGGGCAGCUCAAGCGCGCCAUGUACGAAGCUGCUGACAUCCUUGACCUCUGCCAGCUCAAGGCCAUGGAGCGUGGGUCUUCCUCCACAGAUGCAGGGUGUUGCAAUCCCUUGCUCUUUUGCAUGCGGAAUCCCUUCCAUGCUCGUGAGAUCGGCACCCGCAUCAAGGCACUCAACCAGAGGCUCGACUCCAUCAAGGAGCGGAGCGCUGCUUUCAACUUCAUCAAUCUUAGGUCCUAUGAGGAUUGUCAUAGCAGCAAUGUCCACAUCUCUCCUCAUGGCAAUCCUAGCCAGGAGACGGUAGGGGACUCUGACCGGUCCGCUAUUGUUGGAUACAAGAUUGAAGAAGACACAAGAGCACUGGUGGCCCAAAUCAUGCAGAGGGGAAAGGAUGACAACAAUGGCAUCAAGGUGGUUGCUAUCGUAGGUGUUGGUGGGAUCGGCAAGACCACCCUCGCCCAGAAGGUCUUCAAUGACGAGGCAAUCCAUGGUGAAUUCAGCAAAAAGAUAUGGUUGAGCGUCAACCAAAACUUCAGUGAUGUUGAUCUGCUGAGAAGGGCCAUCAUCGAAGCCGGAGGAGAUGCCCAACCACCUGAAAGUGCAAAGACCAGCCUUCACGAAACCCUCAAGAAUACAUUGAUUGACCACAAGACCUUUCUGGUAAUGGAUGAUGUGUGGAACCAUAGAGCAUGGGAUGACGUGCUGAAAAUACCCUUAGUCAAUGCUGCUGCUCCAGGCAGCCGAGUCCUCGUCACUACCAGAGAUGAAGGUGUUGCCCGAGGGGUGAAAGCUAUAUUGCCGUGCCACCAUGUCGACAUAUUAGCGCCUGAAGAUGCUUGGUCAUUGCUCAAGAAGCAGAUAUGCUCAAGUGAGAUAGAUGAAGACCACACCAAUACGCUUAAGGAUAUCGGCUGA